CCAAUAGCGUAUAUUAAAGUUGUUGCAGUUAAAAAGCUCGUAGUUGAAUUUCGGGAUCAAUUUGUUGGUCGUGCUUCGGUAUGUACUGGCAUUAUUGGUUUCUACCUUCUGAAGAACCGCGAUGUCAUUUAUUUGGUGUCGUGGGGAAUCAGGACUGUUACUUUGAAAAAAUUAGAGUGUUUAAAGCAGGCGCUCGCUUGAAUACAUUAGCAUGGAAUAAUGAAAUAGGACGUUUGAUUCUAUUUUGUUGGUUUCUAGGAUCGACGUAAUGAUUAAUAGGGAUAGUUGGGGGCAUUAGUAUUCAAUUGUCAGAGGUGAAAUUCUUGGAUUUAUUGAAGACUAACUACUGCGAAAGCAUUUGCCAAGGAUGUUUUCAUUAAUCAAGAACGAAAGUUAGGGGAUCGAAGACGAUCAGAUACCGUCGUAGUCUUAACCAUAAACUAUGCCGACUAGGGAUCGGAUGAUGUUAAUUUUUUAAUGACUCAUUCGGCGCCUUACG
rnacentral:rRNA from 1 species